rnacentral:tRNA from 1 species
CAGGAUGUGGGAAAGUCUGGAAAUCCGCCGGCCUUGGGUGCCGGAGAGCGUGGGUUCGAAUCCCACCGUCCUGA